rnacentral:lncRNA from 1 species
UUUGCAUGUCUGGCACAUGAAUUGUGAGAAAAUCAUCCAAAGUGCAAUUACAGAUUCACAGGUAACAAAGGGAAAGUCUUGCAUAUAACCCUGAGCUCAGAUCAGAGUAUAUCAAUAUGACAAAACAAUCAUCUGGAGUAUGAGGACUGAGGAACCCAUUUGUUCCCACACUUAAAAGCACUGAGCAGAUGGGGAGAUGUGCCCAGUUCUGCACCUACAUGACCUGACUUGAUGCUACCUACAUAC